rnacentral:pre_miRNA from 1 species
ACUCUUUCCCUGUUGCACUACUGUGAACGUUGGAUGUAGCAGUGCAAUAGUGAAAGGGCGU